AAGUGAGAGACUUGCUUCAUUGCUUUUUGAAAAAAUACCUGCCAAACACCCAUAUGAAUAACCAUAAUUUAUCUGUCAGCCAUCCUUUCAAGUAAAAAUGAUGUUCUUUGAAAAUAAACCUCUUGUUCAGCUUGCAUCUGAAAUAAAUGUCCCAAAGCUUUUCCUCAAAACGAGCCUCAUGUUUGGGCGUAUGCACAAGUGUGUCAUGUGUACUUGCCAUCUCAUCACACAAUAUUUAAAAGUCAUCUGCCCAACGAUCAGCAUUCAAUAGCUUUUACUUUUUUCAAGGAUAUUCUUGGGUGGCGUUGACUUUCUUUUUUCCCCGGCUACUGAAUGACGGGGAGGAACCAGUGGUCACCAGAGCAGCCCGAUGCCUGGGCCUUGACUCAGUGCGAAGGUACAAGCAGUUCUAUCCAUCCCUGCCUUUGUGCCAUCAGAGCAAAUGUCAAUGCAGUGAAAAAGGCAAAUCACUUCUUUCUAGGAUUAUGAAAGUUUGACAUGGGUCUUGGGGACUCCCAAGGUUCCGCUGACCACACUUUGAUAACCACUCUUCUGGAAAAGUGAUUGGCUGUCUGUCAUCAAUGCCGUUCAGGGAUUGAUAUCCUGAGAAACUAGGGAGAGUGGGCAGGAGAGCAGGGUCAAAAUUCAAAGGCGUCUCAAGAGGAGCCAAAUGGAAGAGUCAUUGGAGGCACAAAGGAGCCUGGGGGAAAGAAAGGCAAAAACCUGGUAGUUUUGUGAAUGAAACCAAAGAGAAGAGAACUGGCAGGUGCAAAUGAAGAUGCUACCCGAAGCCAUAAAAAUGUUACCAGUACCUCUUUUCAUACUAUUUUUACUAUAAUUAGUGUGAUAUUUCAAGAUGAAGUUUCAGUUUUAUUUAGCUUUAUAGGUAGCUGAAUGUUAAGACAAAGGUCAUGAAACUGAAAUAAAAUGACUAUAUAGCAUUGUAUCUGUUACCAUCACCCUGUAGUAAACAGGGGCUUUAAAAUGUGAGACCUUUCACUAGAAUUACAUUGAGAUUUUCAAUGGAAUAAAUAACUUCCAUCCAGGAGAAAAAAAAAAAAUACCAUUCUUAUUUUCCACAGCAGGCAAGCACAUUUCCGAAGUCCGUUGUUUCUCCUGUGACCCACCGGCCUGUCUCAGCUUCCCAGACCCAGACACCUGCCUAUACCACACUGCCCCUCCCUCUCUGAGAGGGGAGCUGGUCAUCUGUGUAGGUGCCAGCCUGCCCUGAAGUGACGUUAGGGUUCUUGACGGGACUCUGUGCCUGGAAGAUGCCUUGAUGACACCUCACAGGAGACAGAACAGCUUCGGGUCCCUGAAGAGAGCAAGGUUUCAAAGCACACUGACCACCAAGAGGAGACACGUUGUCUGAAAUCUGGGGUCUAGACAUGCCCUUGAGCAGGUUUGAAUAGAAGGGAGGGGGGGAUGUGGUCCAGAGACCCUAAAGCCUUGAGAAAGGAGGAGAAUGAUAUUGGAGGGGGAAGCGGGAAGACUCAUUAAGAUAAGGUACGUGAGCUUUGUUUUCCACUUAGACAAAUGAUGUAUUGGGCCUCUGCCUAUCUUGUUUGAUGUAUUCAUUUGCACUUCCCCUUUCAUUUGUUACUUUAAGCCCAUGAUGAAAUGGUCAUUGUAAAGAGAACAAACUGUUAGAAGCCAGUAGAAACUUGAUUUCUGGCUGGAGCCUCCAGGUCUUGGUUAAUAAAGGCUGUCUGAGCACCUCUCUUUCUCAGAGACACGUCUGAUUCCUCCAGGAACUGAAAUGGCCCCUAACCCCUGAGAUUAGCUGAUUGAUUAAAUUUUCAUGAAGUCUCAUCACGCAUAAAAGUGAAGCUGAAAUAAGAGUGGCAGUGUUUUCUUUUUCAGUGAAAAGCCUGAAUCCUUCAAAACAUAUCCUGACCAAAAAUGAAGACCAGUAAGCUCUGGAUUAUUCUGGCCAGGGCAGAAUUUAUGUGUGGACAGAGGUUCCCGACGCACAAUCAGGUUGGUGGUGAGGAUGAAAUUUAACUAGAAGGCAUACAAUAGAUCCUCAACAAAUCAGAAGCCUUGUUAUUCCCAUUGUGAGAAACAGGAAAGAUGUUGCAUCCUUUACAAACUGAAGGCUUGUGGCAACCCUGCUCCGAGCAGGUCUCUUGGCGCCAUUUUCCCAACAGCGUUUGCUCCCUGCGUGUCUCUGGGUCACAUUUUGGUUUUCCUCGCAAUAUUUCGAACGUUUUCAUUAUUAUCACACGUGACUUGCUGUAAUCUCACGACGCAACUUGAGGAAGAGGAGUUGCUUGCCUAGGGCGGGGACAGAGAGUGGCUGCUCCAGGUGGAAUCUGUGGAUGAAGACAGUUGAAGGGACCGCAAGGGUUUAGGGUGUACGUGAGCUUAGCCCAUAAAUCAGUGGAAGGGCUGAGAGGACUGACUCCAGUUUUGAAAGAAGUCCGACUGUGGGUAAAACGUCCUUUCUCCACGCUAACGAGAAAUCGUUCACCAAAGGAAGAGUCAACCGAUGGGGCCGACCGCGCUGUCGUCUUGCUUUAAGAAGUUGCCACGGUCACCCCGGCCUUCACCCCAGCCUCCGCCAGCCUGACCAGCCAGCAGCCGCCGCCUCAGGGCCAGACCCUCCAUCAGGAAAGAUUCAGACUCACUAACAGCUCGAAUGAUGGUUGGCAUGUUUUAGCCGCAAAGUCGGUUUUGCCUAAGGCACGUCUUUUUUUGGGCAUAACGCUGCUGCACACUUACCGGACCACCGCACCGUGCGAACGUCACUAUCCCAGGCACUGGGAAACCAAACAUUCACCGGACUCGCUUUGUGGUGACAUUCGAGUGACUGUGGUCAGGAACGAGCCCGCGGCACCCCGAGGUGAGCCUGCUCCGGGAAGGUGGUAGGUGACUCAACUUAACUGUCUUGCACAACUUGUGUGCGACGGGAAAAGUCAUGGUGUUUUGGCCCGACACGGCUCCCCAGUGGAAUCUGUGAGCCUCUCCGUGAGCCUCUCCCAUGGUCCCCGCUGUGCCCUGCAGCCAUGCGCCCCAGGCCUGGCCUAGUGCCACCAAGGGGGCGCUUCCUUCCUUCCACAGGCAGCCGUGUGCUCUCUCCACCCCCUGUCCCUGCUGACCCAAAAGCAGGAUGGCUGAGGCCUGGAGGCCCCCUGGGGGUCAUCCGCAGCACCCUUGGCCCUGCCGCCCAGCCCAGGGCCCCAGGCUCACAGCAUGGCCUACUUUAACCGAAAGUUCUCCAAGUCGAGUGUCUCAGAAUCACCUGGACUGCUUAUUAAAACACAAAGGGCUGAGCCCUGAGCCCAGAGGGUCUGACCCGGCAGGUCCGAGGUGCGGCCCAGGAAUACAUAUUCCUCUAAAUGCCGGGUGCGGUGAGGCUGCCGAGCCGAGGACCACACUUUGAGAACCGCUUCACCACAGCUGCCAGCCGGCCCUGUGUGCCCAGGCGGGCUCAACCCACGCAGGGCCUCUUCAGGUGGGUCUGCCUGGGCUCGGCGCCCCUCCGCCAGAGGCUCCCCGUGGCUCCCCAGAAAUGCUUCCUUGGGCUUGACCGGACACAUGACCUGGCUGUUCUUCUCACUGUCCAGAUGCGAGGCUUUUGUGUGUCCCCAGUGGCGAGGAACGAGGCAGGGAUCUGGUUUCUCAGACACCCCGACGGUUCUGAGCCCAGCGGGUGCACCUGGGGACUGUGGGGGGGGGUGCCACUGGCCCGUCUCCAGCCUGUGGGGACCACAGCCAGCAGGGACCACAGCCAGCGGGCAUCCGCUUCUGUGCAGAAACACACUUCCGCCCCACGGAGCCCAGGGAGGGCCAGGCUGACCCCUAGAGAGUGUCAGCCCGAAUCUUCCUCCCCUCCUCAUUCCUUUGGACUGCUUCAGGAAACAUGGUGGGUACAGGUGGGAGCAGGGGCGACGGGGUUACAACUGGCUUCUAGGAAAGCAAUUUCCUCCCGGUGAAGGCAGCAGACACCCCAUCCCCACAGCCCCUGACUGCCACUAAGCCAGGAAAGCGAGCGACACCCUUACCUGGUCUGGAGAAAAGGCAGCACAGGAGAGAAAGGGCUCUGCCUCAGAAACCGGGCUGGGAACCCACACUUCCAACAGGGGAAACUGCUGGGUUUGAAGCAAAGGCCUCUUCUGAGAGAGCCCCUUGGCGAGGACAGACGUGGGGAAUUUGAACAGUGAGAAGGUGUGAGGGGGCGUCUGUGCCUGGCUCGUGCUGUGGUACAUAGCGAGGAGGGCCUCUGUGGGCAGAGGUGAGGCGGGCAGGUGCUUGAGCCGAGUCUGACAGGCGAAGCCACCUGUGCCCCUGGCGAGACCUCCUCUGCCUCCCUGUCUUCUCCCCCAGAGCCAGGCGUUUCUGUCCUUCGCGAAAGCCCCAAAUGCACUGAGCACCUGACCUUCCCCAGUCCUCUGUUUAAUCUUGAGUCCGCUCCUGCACAGUCUGGGCUGACCUUCCUUCCGAGAGGACGCGUGGACGCUGUGUUUUGCAUGCUCCUGUCACUUCAGCAACCUCCCCGAACAGGUGAGCUCUUUGGAAAUGGGGAAGAGUGUCCUGAAAUAGAGGCGUUUGCAGGAAGUCUGUCCUGCAGAGCAGACCAGAUCCCAUGAACAUCCCUGUCCAAGACUCACAUAGUUUCACAACAAUAACCAAGGACAUCUUUGAUUAAAAAACCAAACCAAACAAAAAACCCCACAGAUCGUUCAAGCCCACUCCCAGAAACUGGUUCCUUGGACACGGGAUGGGGCUGUGGAAGUUUUCACAAGCACCUGACAUGUUCCUGAAGCAACUGGGCUGUGGCCACCCUUUGCCUAUGAAGGCUCUUACUGCCUAUUUGGGGGACUAUGGGGCUGUUGAUGAGUGGGGAGAUUCCCCCUGAACAGUGCUUUGGGGGCUUGGAAGAUCUAACCACAUCUCUGGCUUAGGAAGGGGCCCCUAGACAACCAACUGAGGCAUCAUCCAGGGCUGGGGAGAGUGCUCAGUGGUGGCCCCUUUGCAGAAGGGUCCAUGGGCAACAUCACUGAUCCAUUAGCAAGCAAUGCUGGCCAGGCUCCCAACUCAACUUUAGGAGGAGAUAAUAAUACGCUCCAUCUGUCGAGAACACUCCCCAAAGGCAUUCAUCUACAUGAGCUCAUCUGACCCCGCGACAGAGGCCGGCUUCGGUUCCUUCAACCACAGCAGCACCAAAAGCUGGCUGGGUUUCAGCAGAGCCCUGCCUCGAGUUCCCCGAUUCACCCUGCACCCCCGACACACACGCAAGCCUGUAAUCUAAGGAAAAUGGUGUAUAUGUACUUAUAGGACGAUUUCCCAGCACCCCCACCUCCUUCCUGAGGGCCCCCUAAGUGCCUCCUGUAAAAAAUUCUGGAGCCUCACUAAUUACAACCAUUUCGCAGAAGAGUAAACUUGGACUCAGCCUUGCCAAAAGUUGCAUAGCUAGGAAAGAAUGGAGUCAGGGCCCCACUCCUCCCUCACUUGGGGAGAUUGCCCAGGGGAGGCCUCUCUCCUAGCCUCUGCUGGCUCCUUUGGAAAAGGGUGGUCAGAAGCCCCAAGUCAGGAGUGGCUGGCAGAGCUCCAGCCCCAGGCAAGGAACUACUGCCGCCCAGCAUCCAUCAGACAGUUGCCUGCAUUGGUCCACAGCGACCCUCAAGGAAGAAGGCCUCCCACACCCAACCUGUCUGGGGUAGCCGCCCCUGGUGAGCUCCCUUUCUAAGUCCAUCCAUGCCCUGGGCCUCACCAUGAGGAUGUGGGUCAGUGACAGAGGCUGGGGAAGACAUUCCUGGAACAGAGUGAGCCACAAUGGUGACCCUCAAAUUUGGGGUAUCUGGAAUCUUUGGCAAGGCGAAAAGUCCAACCAGCCACCCCCACGUACUCCUGAGCCAGACAAAGUGUGAGGAGCGUCCAUGUCAGGCUCUUUGAUAACAAUUGUAUACUGAAUAAAGUUGAAAGU